UGAAUAAAUCUUAAAAAAAAAAAAAAAAAGUCCAGUUGUGUGUCCUCAGUGUAGAACAAGGAUAAAAUGUUUAUUUUAAAUGUUUUCAAAUCAAGCAGGCAAAUAAUUUCCCAAACUUAAAUCUCAUUCUACCAUUCAGGGAACUACACAGAUCCAGCGGAUGGGACGUAGAAACGUUAUUCUAUCCCUUUGUCACUCUCCUGAGGAGUCCUAGGGCUGUGGGAUGUGGCAGAAAAGCAAUCUUGUCAUCCCCAUCACAUGUCUGCUUACCAGAGCAAUACUUCCUAAUGUGACCUACAGCUUAAAUGCAAUCCCUAUCAAAUUCCCAAUGACCUGUUUUUGCAGAAAUGGAAAAGUUGAUCCUAAAAUUCACAUGGAAUUGCAAGUGAUCUCAAAUAGCUAAAACAUUCUUAAAAAAGAACAAAGUUGGAGGACUCACACUUCGAGAUUUCAAAAAUUACUUCGAAGCUAUGGUAAUCAAAACAUGGCAGUAUUCACAUAAAGAGAGACAUGCCAUUCAAUGGAACAGAAUUAAGAGUCCAGAAAUAAACCCAUAUCAUCUAUGGUCAAAUGAUUUUUGUCUAGAGUGCCAAGACCAUUCAAUGGGGAAAACCAGUCUGAUAAAUGGGGCUUGAAAACGAUGUCCACAUGCAAACAAAGGGAAGUGAACCCUUACCUUAUACCAGGUGCAAAAGUUAACUCGAAUGAAAAUUAAGAACUAAGACUAAACAGCUCUUAAGACUCAUGACCUUGGAUCUGGCAAUGGUUUCUUAAAUACGAUGCCCAAAGCACAUGCAACAGAAGAAAAACAUACAUUGGACUUCAUAAAAAUGAAAGCUUUUGUGCAUCAAAGGACACUGUCAAAAGAUGGCAAAACAUCCAUCCCUCCAAAGAAACAUUGAAAGACAAGCAGAAACCAUCAGUACCAACUUUGUCAGAACCGGAAAACAGUCCAAGAUUUAUAGCAACCAAGCAAACACUGACUCAAGACAAAAGUGGUGGGAAAACUUUGUGGUGUUUUUCCUUGCCCUCACCUCAUCUCUCAGGUUUGGUGGCAGUUUUGAAGAGGGCAGCUCAUGUUCCCCAUGUGGGACCCUAGUCCCUGGUUCCAGAGAAAGUAGAGCAGACCUUGUUCCCCAAUGAUUUAACCUGUGUAGUGCUAGGAAGACUGACACAGGAGCUCGUCUCUGUUUUACCUGACUCAGAACUCGCUGAGCAGAAAAGUAGUGGGCAUGGCUCAAAAACUUCAUAAGGUGCACAAGACUUGUGGCCACAUGAAGCAAAAGAUUAUGCUUGAGACAUACAAUAGACUACCUAAAGCCGAAGAAAUGCUGGGGAGAGAGCUGCUUUAGGACAUUAGAGCGUUCAAAAGUGACAUCGUGUACUAGGGAAUUUUGAAAGCCACAUGCAUGGCCAGGACAGGAUGCAUGCUCGGAAAAGACCUGAGAAGACCCUGAGUGUUCCCCUCUGGCUGGUCUCUCUGCUCAGUCCAAGCAGGUAGUAAAGGCUAAGGUUAAAGGAAUGUUUUAAACUAGCUCAGUGUUAAAGAGAACCCCAGCACAGAGCCAGCCUGGAAAGACGGGGAGAGAUGUAGGUUUUGUUUGUUUGGGGUCCUGGUAUUCAAGGAAAUCUCUGUCAAAAUACUGGCUGAACAGAGACUUCUAGUGACCACACAUGACAAGGAUGACAGUCCUUGCAAAACUAGUUUGAGAAAGUCACCAAAGAGAUGUCUGCAGCUUUCCGUAGUCAAAAACAGCAAACUCUGGGAAAGGGAGGAACUGGUUCCCAGUUACCAUAUUAUAUUCAAAUAUCCAGUUUUCAACAAAAACAAAUCAUACAAAGAAACAGGAUUAUGGUCCAUUCAAGGCGGGGGGGAAUGACAGAAACCAUUCGUGAGGAAGUCCAGAUACUCUUAGUAGACAAAGCUUUAAACCGAUGGCAUUAAGUUUGCUCAGAUAGUCAAAGGACACCUGAGAGCUCGUUCUGGCUCCGGCUCCAUUCGGAGCCGACAGCUAGCCCUGGACCUUGCGCUGACUCUCGUGCUGGCUCUGGCGCUGCAGCUGCUUCUAACUCUGGAGCUGGCCCUGGCUCAAGGUCUAUGACUGGCGCUGGAGCUGAUGCUAGAGCCAGUCUGGCUCUAGCCCGACAGCUGGCUCUGUAUCUGGCCCUGGCUCUGGCUGCGGCGGUAGAGCUGGGGCUGGAGUCAGGGCUAGCUCUGUCUAGUCAGUGGCUCUCUUACCGGCUCUGGCUCUGGAGCCUGCUCGAGUUCUAGAGCUGGCUCUGGUGCUGAAGCUUAUUUUUGCUCUGAAGCUGACCUUAUGUCUGUAGCCUGGGUGCAGUUUCUAGAGCUGGUGCUGGAGUAGCGCUGCUGCUAGGACUGAUGCUGGUGAUGGAGCUGGCAGGCUCUAGCUUUGGAGUGGACAUUGGAGGCCACACUAACUUUGGAGAUGGCACUGGAUCUGGAGACCGCAACUCGAGAGCGGGCACGGAAGUUGAAUGUAGCUCUGGAGCUGGCACCAGAGCGGGUUCUAGCUCGAGCUGGUGGUAGAGCUCACACUGGGAUCUGGGCUGGAGCUUGUUCUAGCUCUAGCGUCGGCUCUGACUGCAGGUCUACAGCUAGACAUGGUGCCAAAGCUAUCUCUAGCUCUGGAUCUGGGCUUACGGCUGGCACUGGUGCUGAUUCUGGAAAAACUGGACACAACAUUCCAGGUCCACGCCAGACAGGUCGCGAUGUACAAACGCCACCAGCUACUUCUGUCAAGGAAACUCUGGAGGCUGACAGGAAUCCUCCAAGUACCAGUCCAGCAGCCAGGAGCGCAGGAUGGAGGAGACAGACGGCACUGAGGAGUCAGGUCUUACGACCUCAUCGCGAGGAAAUACCAGGCACAUUCAAAUUGGGGAUACACCGUAAAGAAACUGGCCUGAAAUCUUCAAAACUGUCAAAGUCAUGGAAAGCAAGGAAAGACGGACUGUUCCCGACUGAAGGGAACUACAGAGACCUGGCAGCUAAAUUCAAUGCCCGUUGGAAAAUUCAGCAUUCUGGGGAUUGGAUGAAGUAUUGAAUCAAUGUCAAUUUCUUUAUUGGUUGUAUAGUGGGUAUGUGGGGGGUAUUUUCAUUUUAAGGAAAUAUAUACACUGAAGUAUUAAGGAGUAAUGGGAUAUCACGUCCUCAACUUGCUCUCAAAUGGUUUAGAAAAAAAAUGCAAAAACAUGUAUAUAAAGAGAAUAAUAAGGCAAUGUACUAAACUGU